rnacentral:rRNA from 1 species
UCGGGAAUUUUGGGCAAUGGGCGAAAGCCUGACCCAGCCACGCCGCGUGAGGGAUGAAGUAUUUCGGUAUGUAAACCUCGAAAGAAUGGGAAGAAUAAAUGACGGUACCAUUUAUAAGCUCCGGCUAACUACGUGCCAGCAGCCGCGGUAAUACGUAGGGAGCAAGCGUUGUUCGGAUUUACUGGGCGUAAAGGGCGCGUAGGCGGCGCGGUAAGUCACUUGUGAAAUCUCUGAGCUUAACUCAGAACGGCCAAGUGAUACUGCUGCGCUAGAGUGCGGAAGAGGCAACCGGAAUUCUUGGUGUAGCGGUGAAAUGCGUAGAUAUCAAGAGGAACACCUGAGGCGAAGGCGGGUUGCUGGGCCGACACUGACGCUGAUGCGCGAAAGCCAGGGGAGCAAACG